GAGGGUGUAGCUCAGUGGUAGAGCAUGUGCUUAGCAUGCACAAGGUCCUGGGCUCAAUCCCCAGUACCUCCA
rnacentral:tRNA from 1 species